rnacentral:lncRNA from 1 species
UUUGAAUUUUCUGUUUCUUUUUGUAUUCCAGUGUUUUAAUCCCUAGUAUUUGUUAGUACAUUCCAAAUGAGGAAAACAAAGACUGAUAGACAUUUGAGAUAAGAAAUAACUGCAGGCAUAAAUGUGCAGGUUGUGUCACUCCAUAUUUGUACCUGAAUCUUGUUUUUGGAAUCCUUUUCUCAUUUUUAUCACACUUGAGUUUUUGUCAAGGAAUCUUUAAAAACCAAAACACUUAAAUAUUUUUUCUUAUUUUUUUUUAAAGGUAUCUUAGAAGAUGGUAAUGUGGUUGCCGAUGAUUCUGAAUAAAUACAGCUUUUAUCCCAGGUGUGCCAUUCUGAAGACUGAGACAAUAGAGUUUUUAAGAAUAAAAGAGAACCCUUGGGAAAUUCUGUAUUGUAUAUAUCAAGUAAGUUUUUAAAAUCAUUAUAGUUGAAUAUUUACCAACAUUUGGGUAGGAAUAUAUCAUUAAAGUUUGUCAAUGAGAAAAACUUCGAUUGUUUAUAUAAAAGGAGAUGAGAAAAUAUCCUAUUAGUUUUACCCUAAACCCUUUUGUGUUAACUAUUAAAAACAAUUGAUACGUAUAAUUCAUAUCAGUGUGUACAACUAUCCAGUAGUAAGACAUUUGAUCUUCCCAAUAAAAUGAUGCCUUUUCAUGGCAGUUAAAUCUGCAGUGUUAAAUUAGUGUUGUCUUUAUAGUCUGAAAGAUAUAUUGUUUAGCUCCCUUCCCCACUCAUCAUAAAACAGUGUCCUAAAAAUUUAUAAUCAUCGUUCCCUUCCUUUUUGAGACUACUUUUCAAAAGCUAAAAGCACACUUUGAUGACUUUGUUAUUAAAUAGUUAAAAUACUCAUUUUUAGUAGUUCUUUGAACAACUGUAAAAAUAGAUUCCAGCAAACUAAAUGCACUGCUCUUAGAGGCUUCUGUCAGUGUCCUGGUAAUUGUUUCUGAACCUAAAAGAGAAAUAGGUUCUGAGUUCAGCAUACCAUAAAAUGAUUAUUUUAAUAGGUGAAUAUUAAGGUGGAUGCAGAAAAUGUGACUACUUCUAUAUGUAAAGAAGUAAAUCUGCCCAUAAUAAGUUUGAAUUCAGAAGUAACACUCAAUUACUGUUUUUAAGUGAUUGAUCAUAGAAAAUAUGAAAUUAUAAGUGAUACCUUGGGAAAUAAAGAAGAUAAUCAAAUGACUAAUUGACUAAAAUGAGAAAGAGCACAUUUACUUAUGCCUUGGCAAUCUAUGGAAAAUCAAUUUGUGUUUACCUUGUUUUGAUUCAAAUAGGUCAUAAGGGGAAUAGACUAAUUUUAUUGCCUUUGUGUUAGCUUAAUGAAAUUUUGUUUUGCNNNNNAAAGUUCAAGUUUGUGUUUAUAUUGUAUAAAAUAGAAAAUGAUAGACUUUUAAAAUAUUUAAUCUCUCAAAAGUAGAAUAUAUACAAAAGAAUAUAAAGGAAUAUAGUGUUAUAUCCCUUAAGUGCUAGGAUGAGGAUUCCCUCUUCACAGCUGAUAGAGUGUGUAGUUGGCAUGUGCUGAACAAUGUUAUAAAAAUUGAGAAUGAGGGGCUGGGGAUUUAGCUCAGUGGUAGAGCGCUUACCUAGGAAGCGCAAGGCCCUGGGUUCGGUCCCCAGCUCCGAAAAAAACCAAAAAAAAAAAAAAA